rnacentral:rRNA from 1 species
UACAGAGGGGGCAAGCGUUAUUCGGAAUUAUUGGGCGUAAAGAGCUCGUAGGCGGUUUGUUGCGUCGGCUGUGAAAUCCCGAGGCUCAACCUCGGGUCUGCAGUCGAUACGAGCAAACUAGAGUGUUGCAGGGGAGACUGGAAUUCCUGGUGUAGCGGUGAAAUUCGUAGAUAUCGGGAGGAACACCAGUGGCGAAGGCGGCUCUCUGGGCAGAUACUGACGCUGAGACGCGAAAGCAUGGGGAGCAAACAGG